rnacentral:ribozyme from 1 species
AAGCGCAAAACGGGAAUUUAAACAAAACGAAGAAGGGCAACAAGAAGGCACGUGAAGUGGCCGGGUUAGUCUUUCUCUUCUUCUCUCUUGUUUUUUCGCUCUAUUUUUUUUUUUUUU